AGUGAACGCUGGCGGUAGGCCUAACACAUGCAAGUCGAACGGCAGCACAGUAAGGGCUUGCUCUUACGGGUGGCGAGUGGCGGACGGGUGCGGAAUACAUCGGAAUCUACUUUUUCGUGGGGGAUAACGUAGGGAAACUUACGCUACUACCGCAUACGACCUACGGGUGAAAGCAGGGGAUCUUCGGACCUUGCGUGAUUGAAUGAGCCGAUGUCGGAUUAGCUAGUUGGCGGGGUAAAGGCCCACCAAGGCGACGAUCCGUAGCUGGUCUGAGAGGAUGAUCAGCCACACUGGAACUGAGACACGGCCCAGACUCCUACGGGAGGCAGCAGUGGGGAAUAUUGGACAAAGGGCGCAAGCCUGAUCCAGCCAUACCGCGUGGGUGAAGAAGGCCUUCGGGUUGUAAAGCCCUUUUGUUGGGAAAGAAAAGCAGCAGGUUAAUACCCCGCUGUUCUGACGGUACCCAAAGAAUAAGCACCGGCUAACUUCGUG
rnacentral:rRNA from 1 species